CAGUAGCCGCGGUAAUACGUAGGGUGCAAGCGUUAAUCGGAAUUACUGGGCGUAAAGCGUGCGCAGGCGGUUAUAUAAGACAGAUGUGAAAUCCCCGGGCUCAACCUGGGAACUGCAUUUGUGACUGUAUAGCUAGAGUACGGCAGAGGGGGAUGGAAUUCCGCGUGUAGCAGUGAAAUGCGUAGAUAUGCGGAGGAACACCGAUGGCGAAGGCAAUCCCCUGGGCCUGUACUGACGCUCAUGCACGAAAGCAUGGGGAGCAAACAGGAUUAGAUACCCGAGUAGUCCCUGUCUCUUAUAC
rnacentral:rRNA from 1 species